CUAUUCAAAAAAAAAAAAAAAAAAUAACCACUUCCCCAUUUCCUAAAAAAUUCAAAUGAAAUCCCUACAAUUCAUCCCUCCCAAAUAACCACUUCCCCCUAAAACCCUAGACUACCUUCACCUCUUUUUCUUACUUCCCUUAUGCAAUUUCAUUUUCUUUUCCCUCUUAGUACUAUGGAUUCUAAACCCAAUCAACAUCAACGACUGUUUGCAAGGGCAGCAGUGGGUGGCGAUUCACCACGCUACUCCAACAUUAGAAGCCGACCCAACAUUGCUUCGAUCGUCGGUCUGACAUGUUAAGUCCUCUCUCCCCAAUUUCCCCCUUUGAAGGGAUUGAGAUUUAUGAUUCUGGUGGUGUUGUUGAAAUCUGAUAGGUUGAAGACGCACACCAAUUGCUCGGUGAAAUGCUUCAACCAAUUUUAUUAUUAUUUAUGCAUUAAUUAAUGGUUAAAUGCUCUUUAUAUGCAGAUAGGAACUAUAUAGUAAAUUUAUAUAACCAUGUCUUUUAAUGGAUACUCAAACGAGAAGGUUUAUGGUAUAAAUGCUAAGGUAAAAUUCUUACAUUUUGUACUUUUAGCAUAUUUAUUAUAUAGUAUGAAUAUGAAUUAGUAACUAUUUUGUGCAAUGAGAGGUGUACCAUGUGCUUCAUUGGUUGUAUCUCUUUUUGAAGAGUUCAUGCUUUUAUUAACUAAAAUACUUACUUACAUGAUGUUAUGUUAGCUCAUAGAUUAUUUGAUUAUCAUCUGUUGAUUUUUUAUUCGUUUUUGUGGGUUUUAGUUUGCUCCUAUAUGUUGAUUUUAAAGUAGGUUAUGUGCAUUUGAUCAUUCUUGCUUAAUAUUUGUUUUCCAGGUUACGUAGCAGCUUCUUUCAUGGCUUCAUCGUCAUGCAAGGAUUUUUUAGGGAUUCUUUGAGCUAUAAUUAAAUAAACAAAUGGUACCCCUUUUGUCUAUAACACAAAUUGACCCUUCAGGUCUUGAGUGAAGCCAAGUUAGGUGUAUUUAUACAAGAUGUUGCUUUGAUGUCUUCUACUUUGUUCAAGAUUCACUAUCUCUCUUGGUAUGGCACUUGUUGGAUUGGUUGGUUAGGGCCUAUUUCAAUGCAGAUUUCCUAUGAUUCUAGACUCGGAUGCCCACCACUGAGUGCUCUCGACUUCGAUUGUUGAGCUGUCAAAGGCAUUAGAUCUAGAACCCGGCCAAAUGUGAGUUGCUAUCUCCCUAUCACGCUCGCGAGGAAGUGACGGUUUCAUAUGGUAGUCAAACACAUGAAAGAGUUUAUCGACUCUAUACAACAUGAUUUGGUUAACCAACUUUGGAAUGAAGAAGGGUUCGAAGAAUCUCAAAUUGAGAAUUUAGUGGUAGAUUUAAUGUCGUGAUUUAUUAAAAAGAUGUUUUGAUCUAGUAAGCUUUAGUUUUUAUUUCAUACUUUUGUAAUUCCAUAUACUUGAACGGGUUGUUGGGUUGUUUAAUACUAGUUAACUUUUGUGGUGA